UCUUCGUAGGUGAACCUGCGGAGGGAUCAUUACUGAGCGAGGGUUUGACCGCCCGACCUCCAACCCUUUGUGAACCAAACUUGUUGCUUCGGGGGCGACCCUGCCGACGACUUCGUCGCCGGGCGCCCCCGAAGGUCUCCCAACACUGCAUCUUUGCGUCGGAGUUUAAACCAAAUUAAACAAAACUUUCAACAACGGAUCUCUUGGUUCUGGCAUCGAUGAAGAACGCAGC
rnacentral:misc_RNA from 1 species